rnacentral:rRNA from 1 species
CCUACGGGAGGCAGCAGUAGGGAAUCUUCCACAAUGGGCGAAAGCCUGAUGGAGCAACGCCGCAUGAGUGAAGAAGGAUUUCGGUUCGUAAAACUCUGUUGUAAGGGAAGAACAAGUACAGUAGUAACUGGCUGUACAUUGACGGUACCUUAUUAGAAAGCCACGGCUAACUACGUGCCAGCAGCCGCGGUAAUACGUAGGUGGCAAGCGUUGUCCGGAAUUAUUGGGCGUAAAGCGCGCGCAGGUGGUUUCUUAAGUCUGAUGUGAAAGCCCACGGCUCAACCGUGGAGGGUCAUUGGAAACUGGGAGACUUGAGUGCAGAAGAGGAUAGUGGAAUUCCAAGUGUAGCGGUGAAAUGCGUAGAGAUUUGGAGGAACACCAGUGGCGAAGGCGACUAUCUGGUCUGUAACUGACACUGAGGCGCGAAAGCGUGGGGAGCAAACAGGAUUAGAUACCCUGGUAGUCCACGCCGUAAACGAUGAGUGCUAAGUGUUAGGGGGUUUCCGCCCCUUAGUGCUGCAGCUAACGCAUUAAGCACUCCGCCUGGGGAGUACGGUCGCAAGACUGAAACUCAAAGGAAUUGACGG